rnacentral:tRNA from 1 species
ACCUCCACCUGCGGACAGGAUGCGGCGCUACGAACGCUGACAAUGAAGGUUCGAAUCCUUCUGGAGGUACCA